UCAUUUGAACAUUGACAUCUUGAACGCACAUUGCGGCCACGGGUUAGCCCGUGGCCACGUCUGUCCGAGAGUCGGUUUAUAAACUAUCACGACGCCCAAAAAGUCGUGGAUUGGGUCUUGCUAGCCGGCAUGAUUUCCCCUGUCUUGUCACGGGGGGCCGGAACUAUGGCUUUUCCCUAAUGUACCCAGACGCUGACCGCGGCCUGUACUUACGAGUAUGGGCAGAAUACGGCGAGGUGAGUCGUGGCCUAAUAUUGGUUGACCAAUACACGCUCUGCGGCGUUAUGUUGUGGCGUUCUGGAUGAAUCAUUUCUAUGAUGCCCUGUGGGUGUCUCCCCGACCUCGGUUCAGGCGUGAAUACCCGCUGAACUUU
rnacentral:rRNA from 1 species